rnacentral:antisense_RNA from 1 species
GGCCUCCCGCACCGAAGGGACUCUGGGCGUCUGAGGCCCUGAUCCGGGCGGGCCUUCAGGAUGUUAGCAGUCCCCGUCCGGUUGAAGGCCUGCGGGGCGGGGGCGGGGUGGCGCCCAGGACGACUCUCCGGGCUCAGCUUGGCUGCCUGCCUCCUUCUGUAAGUGUUUUUUUUUUUCUUCACCUGGGACCCUCUAGAGGUUGGAAAGAGAAGAGAGGCUGGGAGCGGAUGGAAAGCAUGACUGCAUCUGGAGCCCCUGGGGGGAGUGGGGAAGAGGGAGUGGAAGGACAGUGGCUGAGGGGCUUCCUGUUGCAGCCUUCAGCUGGACUCAGGGUUGGGAUCACUGGAGGAGGAGGUGGCUUCCUGCCCCAUUGUUCUGGACUGCAGUGUUUCUUGGGAAUACUUACUGUAUGUGGAUUUUCAGUAACCAACUUGGAAAGCUAUAUUUGUUCCCAUGAUUCAG